AAAGACAGAAAAGAGGGGAGGCAGGAUGAAAAGAGAGGGAAGAGCAGGGAAAGGAAGGCAUGCAGAGAGAGUCGGAGGAAGGGCGGCGACAGGCAGGCAGGACGGGGCAGGGCGCGGGCUGGCUGGCCGAGCAGCCGUGGCAUUGUGCAACCCGCUGGCUGGCCGGGCCUUUGCCGCGGGACUGGCUCUGGGCGCGGCAGCCACUUCUGUCCGGACACAAAGGAGGAAGAGGCCUCCUCUCCUGCCCCUCCCGGGCGACCUGCUGAGGUGGGGACACCAGGCCUCUAGGAUAUAGNNNNNNNNNNNNNNNNNNNNNNNNNNNNNNNNNNNNNNNNNNNNCUGAGCCACGCUCUCAAUCAAGGAGCAAAGAAGACAGGAUGAAGGAGAAGGUUUCAAGCCCGCCGGCUCCUCCUUUUUGUCUUCGCCAGGGGACAGGGCCCAUGUGUCCCUACCUCAGUCUUCCUAGAAGGAAGCUGCCCCCAAAGCCUCUCUCCUAUGGGCUUCUACUAUUUGGGAAAGCCCCCCAGACACAGUGGCUGUAAACAGAUGCCCCUUUCUCUCCUACCCAGCUUGGCCACCACCUUCUUUUCAACUCUUGAGCAGCCUGCCCACCCGGCAGAGGCAGCAGCAGUGGGGCAGCCAGGAUCACCAGGCCCACGCUCUCUGCUGCCAUCAAAUUCCCUACGGCACUGGGCAGAGGAGAGCCCCCUCAGGGGGAGGAGCACCCUGACUACAUCACCUCAGACCUGGACAGCUGGGAUCACAAUCAAGCUAGCACCACCGUGGGCAGGACAGACAGACAGAAAGACAGCUCAGGCCUGCGCUGGAAGCAGAAACUGAAUUCUCCUGGCCCGCCGCGAGGAGACCAGCGUCUUGCCCCCACCCCAGCCUUUGGCUGGACAGCCUAGGGUUUAGGACGUCUCAGAUGGACAGACAGACAGGCAAACCGCAUCUCCGGAGGCAGACAGACUCACAACAUGAGUGUGAGUCUGAAAUCAAAUACAGG
rnacentral:lncRNA from 1 species